GGUGAUGUAGCUCAGCUGGUUAGAGCGCGAAACUCAUAAUUUCGAGGCCACUGGUUCAAGUCCAGUCAUCACCA
rnacentral:tRNA from 1 species